rnacentral:rRNA from 1 species
GACAGAGGCCCCAAGCGUUAGGCGGAAUCACUGGGCUUAAAGCGUGUGUAGGCGGAUCGUUAAGUGUCUUGUGAAAUCCCACGGCUCACCCGUGGAACUGCUGGGCAUACUGGCGAUCUUGGGCCAACUAGGGGCAGUCGGAACAAGCGGUGGAGCGGUGAAAUGCGUAGAUAUCGAGAGGAACACCUGCGGCGAAGGCGGGUUGCUGGGCUGACACUGACGCUGAGGCGCGAAAGCUAGGGGAGCAAACGGG